GUGGGGAAUAUUGGACAAUGGGCGAAAGCCUGAUCCAGCCAUGCCGCGUGUGUGAAGAAGGUCUUCGGAUUGUAAAGCACUUUAAGUUGGGAGGAAGGGCAGUAAGUUAAUACCUUGCUGUUUUGACGUUACCGACAGAAUAAGCACCGGCUAACUUCGUGCCAGCAGCCGCGGUAAUACGAAGGGUGCAAGCGUUAAUCGGAAUUACUGGGCGUAAAGCGCGCGUAGGUGGUUCAGCAAGUUGGAGGUGAAAUCCCCGGGCUCAACCUGGGAACUGCCUCCAAAACUACUGAGCUAGAGUACGGUAGAGGGUAGUGGAAUUUCCUGUGUAGCGGUGAAAUGCGUAGAUAUAGGAAGGAACACCAGUGGCGAAGGCGACUACCUGGACUGAUACUGACACUGAGGUGCGAAAGCGUGGGGAGCAAACAGGAUUAGAUACCCGAGUAGUCC
rnacentral:rRNA from 1 species